rfam:Otolemur garnettii contig137717, whole genome shotgun sequence.
GCCGGGCGUUGUGGCGGGCGCCUGUGGUCCCAGCUACUCGGGAGGCUGAGGCAGGAGACUCACUUGAGCCCAGGAGUUGGAGGUUGCUGUGAGCAGUGAUGCCACAGCACUCUACCCAGGGCGACAGCUUGAGCCUCUGUCUCAA